rnacentral:sRNA from 1 species
UGCUCAACAGAGUCUGGUUGCUCUGGACGC